GAGCUUCUAGUAAAACUAUUGCACGGCCUUGUCAAGGCUGACUUGCGGGUUAAAAUCCCACGAAGCUUA
rnacentral:tRNA from 1 species